GAAGGACAAUCCUUUGCAUGAAAUGGUUGGUUCUUCUGUCCUUCUAUUUCUCUGGUGGUUUAAACCAGGAAGGACAAAGAUUUUAUGAUCAUGGAGACUUGGAAAUAAGUAGUAAGGGAAGGAUAUCUUUUGGACUUUCUGGUUAAGUAAAAUACCCUUUCCUUAUAUGUUCAAAUUUUACAUAUUCAAUAUUAAAGAAACUCCUAUCAGUACUUGAGGAAAGGGGGUUGUAAUUAUCAGGACAUGAUUUACAUUAACAACAUGUUCUGGAAUCAAACACUAGGGGUUAAUCCUUUUCAAAAUUUUGAGAUGUAUUUUCAAUAUUUUUGUUUACUUGCUUUGAAACACAGCUCAUUGUGUUUGGUUUGGGAGCUCGGAUGACAAGACACUAAUGAACUAUGUGACGCUAGAUGACCAUAAUGUAGUUGCUUCUGCAAACUCAACGAUGUAUUAUUUACUCCUGUCACCAUCCUCUUCCAAAUCUCUUUCGAGUUCUAUGGUUGAAACAAUUAAAUACUUGUAAGUCUUGUAGAGAAUCUUUAUAAACUGAAAAUAGGUGCAGAUACAUGAACCAAAGGAGGAUUUGUUUGAUGUUUGGGUGAUCUGAACUAUUCUAACUUCUUUUCUUGCUCAAAUAUGCAAAAUUAAGCCACUGGAGAUGGUGCAGGUGCUACCCCUAUUAAUUUAAAUGACCUGCAACUUUGUAUGCAGAGUGAAGAAUUUCGCCACUCAAUUCACAUAAUGAUAUGUAGGAAACUUUUGUGCAAAGAGAACAUGGCAGAUUUGUUGGUUUGUUUUAGACUAUAUGUUCGAUUGGCUUCCUGAAUUUUGUUUGUCUGUUUCCAGUUGAUUAAGUUUUUAAGUUCAUCUAGAUGUUUUGUAAAAUUCUCUGGUGGGUAUCUACUACUCAAUGUUGCCAGAUUAUCAUUUUUGUCUCACUGUACUUUUUCUGAAAUCCCUUAUGUUGGUUUUGGGUAUAUGUAUUAUGAGCAGAAGGUAGAAGCAAAUUUAUGGUUUUGAUGUCAUCUGACUUCCUUUGAAGUUGAGGCUGUUUUUGCUAUGUAUCUUGCUCAUUUCUGAAGGUUUGGAGCGAUGUAUUGGCUAAUGUAUUUGGUGCUCUAAGUCACAAAAGGUUGGUCAGCCUCCAUACAGUAGUGGUGGUGAAAGGGGUGGUGAGCCAUUCAAAGGACACCAAGGAAAUUUUGGCUACAACCACCUUAGACCCAGUGGAGCUGGCCCAUCUUUCAUUGGAAGACCACAGGGUUGUGGUAGUGGUGGCCCUAAGCAUUUCUCACAACAUGGUUUCCCUUCAACAUCUUCGCAUCCAGAAUCUUCAGUUGCUCCAGCAACACUUCCACCUGAGAAAUCAGAAUCAGCGUCAGCACUUAAAUCAGAAGUUCCAAACAAAACUAAAGUUCGGAACAACCAGAGUCCCCAGGUUGCUUGGUGUGAAAUUUGUAAGGCCGCGUGCAAUAGUUUGGAAAUUCUUGAGAAUCACAAGAAUGGACAGCGACAUAAGAAGAACAUGAAGAAGAUGGAAAAGAUGAAAAAUGCUAUCAGAUCAGGGGAUGAAUUACAGGGCCAACAGAAUCGCACAUCUAAUUCAAAUCUGGAAGUGUCUCAUUUGACUCAGGGUGCACAGGAUGGUGAACAGAACAAACCAACAGAAAAUUUACCCACUGAAGCUGUUAACCAUGUAAAAUCUGCGGAAACUGAACAGCAAAAUAAUAUCCCGGGGCAGCAGCAUGGUCCAAAGCGCAAGAAGAAGCACAAGAUUACUUCUGAAACUGAAACUAAGAAGAUUGUUAUUCCGCUAAUCUGUGAUAUAUGCAACGUCAAGUGUGAUAGGCAGGGGAUUUUUGACCACCAUCUUUCUGGAAAGAAGCAUGUUGCUAACUUCAAAAGAUUUAAAAGUAGCGAAGCUAUAUGUGGGCCAGUCGGGCUUCAAGCUCUUUACCCCCCUAACCCAAUUGCUCAGACUAUUUUCCAUCCCCAAGAAGGGAAAUACAUGCCUCCCCAUGUGUACCAAGAAGUGCCGGUGGGAACAAGUUCAAGUCCCUAAUUUCAAGAAAAUCCUGCGAUCGGAGGGUCAGAAGCCUUGCCUGAAUUGUGGAAACAAUAAUACUGUUACAAUGGCUAUGGAAACCACAGAGAAGUCUGUCACAGAAGAACCGAACAUCAGGCAAGCAGCUACUAUCGAGGCUAAUUGUGUGACUGGUGUUUCAGAGACUAAAGAUCAGGGGCCAAAUCCUCUAUCACAUGACAAUUUUAGAAGCUGACUCUGGUCCAACUUUGUAAACGAAUGAAGCAAUAUAGCCUAAAUAGCAGUACUACUUGCCAUGUACGUGGAAUUUCUUUUGAAUUUUACCCCAUUGAAAAUUUUCUCCUAUGGAAGUUAAGUUUAGCUUAAAUCUAAAUAUCUAUCAGCAUUCUUUGCUUUUCAGUAAGCAGCUCAGCAGUCUCCAGUUAGGAAGUUGAGUUUAGUUUUUUAAACUGGCUGGAAAGCCAGAGGCAUUGUUUGUAUAAAAGAAGGAACCAUCUGUAAUGAAUAGAGUCAUUGAGGAAAUGAAAUUUACAAUGAGAUUUUCUUUGAAA